ACCUGGCUGGCUCAUUUUGUAGAGCAUGUGAUUCUUGAUCUCAGGAUCAUGAGUUCAAGCCCCAUGUUGGGUG
rnacentral:tRNA from 1 species